CCAAUAACAUUUCGUGCAACUCAUCACCGCUGGGGCAAACAUGAUGAAAUCCGUGCCAUAUGGUAGCCACCGUUAUGCAUGGCGACCGAGUUUCGGCUCCAUACAAAAAUCAGUCGAAGUGGUCUCCCCCUUCGCCGUGAAAUUGAAACUCAAGCCUCCGUGGUAGGUAAGAGAAAUACAAGACUAAACGACAAGAAUGACACAGAGGCGAGGGGAAUACUUUUACUUUUUUCCCCGCUGGCCAAUCAGCGCGCAGCCUGCGAUAGACCGAAGAAGAGCGACGUCGCGGGAGAGCCAAUGGGAAAGGGACUUUUAUUUCACACGUCCGAUUGUGGUUCCGAGGGAAUAGGAGCGGUUCACAUACCUCUAAAGGUAAGAGAGGGUUAUGUCCUUUUGAUAUUCUUCCGUGAGACUCGGUAAAAGAAUGAGAGAGAAGAAAAGGCUAUUGCAUAUUUAAUGUCUGGAAUUCGGUACACGAUCGCAACCAGCGGCGACACGAAGCCAGCGGCGCACGGAUCCGAACGUGUGUACACUUGCUAAACUGGGUCGUGUGUUCGUGUGUUUGUGUGUAUGUGUGCGUCGUGACGUCGCGAGAAACAGCUGAUCGCAGCCCCACUACGGAGAGCGAGAGGGCCGAGGGAGGGAGCGCCCCGUCGCCAGAGAAUCCAGCUCUUUUCAGCCAGAAAUCGCAGCCGUCCCGCAGUCGAAAUGGGUCUCGCAGGCGUUCGAAGGGCGCCUCUGUCCUGCGGGAGAGAUGGCAGCCCGACAUUCCUUUUGAGAAAGUUUUAUCUUUGACAGACAGGUAUAGACAGAGAUGAUGAUGAUGACUUCGAGGGAUAAAAUUAAGAAUAGGGGAUGGUUAUCCUUAAGGUUUAAAAAGGCGAAAGAGGGAAAGAAAGAGAGAGAGAGAGAGAGAGAUAACAGUGGCAGACAGAGAACAGGAUGGGAUAUCGCGGUCCGGUAUGUUUCGAAGCGGAAGAGAGGAAAAAAAAAGAGAGAUAAAAGACAGGGAGGAGCGAAUAAAGAGGAGGAGAAGGAAUCCUAAAGGACUCUCUAGGACUUGGGAGGAUGUAGGCCAAGGACGCGAGCAGAUGGGCCCCCCCCUUUGGAAGACUCGUUGUUAUCGGAUCUCUUAUCUCUCUUGUUUCAUCUCCGUCGUCGUGUUCUUAAUUUCCCUGUGGCUUCCUUGUGAGUAUGUGUCUGAACGGUGUUGGAAUAAAGAAAAAGAAUAUCUUAUCCUUUUUGUAAUUGUUGUAAAGUUGGAAGAGAAAUGACAAAUUUGUCUCUUUUGUAAUUCGUGUUAAAGAAUGUGUAGAGACAGAGAAAAAAAAAGAUAUUGAAAAUUGCAUUAUGGGGAACUGUGUGUCAUCCUGUGUUAGAAGCAAACCUUGUGCUACAUGGAGUGUAUCUUGUUUUGUUAAUGAUGUGUGUAUCCUGGAUGGAGCCCAGUUUUAAAAUAACCUGUGUAAUAGUGUGGCGAAUGAAAGGAACGUAAGGGGGCGUGGGGGGGGGGAGUGGAGGGGGCGUGUGCGUGUGUGGAUACCGUGCAGGGGAUUCUCGAACUUUCCCCCAAUACAAACACACAACGAUAACGCCUCUGGCCAUGAGUCUGUAGGCCACUCCUUCAAGAAUGAGGAACCAAAUUUCUAAAUCUAUUUCUUGGAGGGAAAAAAUGAUUUGGAAAAUUGGCGAAAUAGAGGGGGGGGGGGGGAGACUGGUUUUGUACGUAGCCAGAAAUUGGGAUGUGGCUGAACUGGGGUUAAAUGUGUGUGUGAGAGAGAGAGAGAGAUAGAGUGUGUGUGUGUGUGUGUGUGUGUGUGUCAAUUGUAUAUUGUCCAUGUGAGCACUAGUAAAUAUUUAUAAUAUACCUUUUUUACAUAAUCUUGUGUAGUUAAUAUCUGAGAGGAAGUAACCGUCUUUGGAGGGUUUUUCCCUGUCAGUUACUAUUUGGUUAGAACAAGAAUAAAAUAUUGAUUAGAUUAA